CAAGAUUUGCUAUUUCUUAUGCAAUAAUUGGAUUUGUUAGCCAAUUCAUGUAAGACUCUCACAUUAAUCAUUGGAAUGUUGUAAUUUGCAUUCUAAUAUUCCAAAAAUUUUCUAGGACGAGGAUUAUUGUAUGAGGACAAAGGAAAUACUCAAAUUAUAUGCUAUUGUGAUGCAAAUUGGGUCAGCUGUUAUAUUUUCACGAGAUCUAUCACAUGAUAUGAUGUAUUCAUUGGAGGAAAUAUUGUCUCCCGGAAGAGCAAGAAACAUAAUAUUUUUUCCCAACCCAAUGCAAAAGUUGAGUAUAGAGCUAUGACUUUGGCCACUUGUGAAUUUGUAUGGAUUAAUCAACUCCUUUUAAGAGUUGAAAUUUUGUGAAGUUGAGCAAAUGAAGUUGUAUUGUGAUAAUCAAGUAGUCUUCCAUAUUGCUUCCAAUCUUUUGUUUCAUGAUGGGACAUUAUAUACUGAGAUUGAUUGUCAUUUUACUAGAGAGAAGAUAUUGUCCAAAGAACUCCGUAAUGGAUUUAUCAACUCUAAUGAUCAGCUUGCAGAUAUUCUCACCCCUUGAGAGAAUCUAGAAUUUAGUUUAUAUGUUCCAAGCUGGCUCAUACAAUUUAUUUGCUAGAGGGAGUAUUAAAAUUAUUAUUUUUAUUGUAUUGUACAACUUGUGCUUGUAAUGUAUUCUUCCCUUUUUCAUACACACAUACGUGUGUGUGUGUAUACAGCUGAGAAAUAAUUCGCCAAUUUUUUAUUACAUUCAAAUUCAAGUGAGGCUAUGAUGCUAAUUCUCAAGGCACAUUUAUGCUAGUAACCACUGUAGUUAAAUCCGUAAUCUAGUUAUCUGGUUCAGUAUAUAUAUUUACGUCCAACUUUCACUUUAUAUACUACAUGCUGGAGAAAUUUUGGUGGAAAAGUAAAUUAAUUAAAGAAAAAUACUUUUUUAUAUUUUGGUGCUUAAAUUUUGUGAAAUAAAUGUGUGUGCAGGGGUUCAUGACUCGUUUUGGACACAUGCAUGUGACGUGGAGAAAAUGAGUCACAUUCUUAGAGAAAAGUUUGUGGAGCUUUAUAACAUGCCAAUACUUGAAAAUUUGUUGGAAGGUUUUGAGACAUCAUACCCGGGAUUAGCCUUCCCUCCUGUGCCAAAGAGAGGUGAUUUUGACUUGGGGAAGGUUCUCGAGUCUCCAUACUUCUUCAACUGAACGUUCCUUCAAAGGAAGCUAUUACAAGAUUCCAUGGAAGUGUUGUUACCUUCACUUUUGAGGCAAAAUAGUUCAGAAUCUUCUGCUUCUGAGACAACACUUCAUCCGGUCGGAAGUUGUGAUUCAAAGAAAGACCCCAAGUUGCUUUUGGGAAAGGCCUGGAAAGAAAUCUCCUGUUACUAGAAUGCUCAAAACAAUACUUAUUUGGCUGGUUUAAGAAGAGAGAAGCGUUCAUUAUUUCUUACAUAUCUAAUAUUGGCGAUUUCCUCGACUCAAACUUAUAUGUAGAAAGGCUUAAGCACAAUGCGGAGCUGAAGACCUUAACUGAUUUUGAUGAUGUAAACCAUUUUUUCUUUCUUAUAAUGUAUGAAUAUCUGUAUUACAUCUAAGAUUGAAAGAUAGAUCGUUAGGCAUAGAAUAAAUUAUUUUUGUGACUUGUACAUAGAGUUAUUCAUUUCAUUAACUUAAAUUAUAUAUUAAAAUUAUAUCAA